AACGAACGCUGGCGGCAGGCCUAACACAUGCAAGUCGAGCGCCCCCUUUAGGGCGACAAAGACGGAGACGCGGUGGUUGGAGAGAUCCGAUCGCUGGUUUGGUGUUUUGUCUUCUGAUGGGGAGCGGCGGACGGGUGAGUAACGCGUGGGAAUUUCCUCAAGGUACGGAACAACUCAGGGAAACUUGGGCUAAUACCGUAUGAUGUCUAGCGACCAAAGAUUUAUCGCCUUGGGAUAAGCCCGCGCAGAUUAGGUAGUUGGUGGGGUAACGGCCGUACCAAGCCUGCGAUCUGUAGCUGGUCUGAGAGGACGAUCAGCCACACUGGGACUGAGACACGGCCCAGACUCCUGCGGGAGGCAGCAGUGGGGAAUCUUGCGCAAUGGGCGAAAGCCUGACGCAGCCAUGCCGCGUGAAUGAUGAAGGUCUUAGGAUUGUAAAGUUC
rnacentral:rRNA from 1 species